rnacentral:lncRNA from 1 species
CAGAAUCAAAGCUAGGGUUUCCAUUAUUCAUCCAAGUAGAGAGGAUCCCUCUAGUUCAUCUAGUUCUAGUUCUAGUUCAUCUAGUUCUAGUUCUAGUUAGUUCUAGUUGUAAUCUAUAAAAUAGGGAGAGAGAAGAGGAGAGCGGAGGAGGAGCCGGAUCUGUCGGAUCUUCCUCAACAUUGUACUUUUGCAGCAACUGGUUCGUUCUUCAUCGUUCUCCAAGUUCUUCAAUUCAUAAUUCCUGAGUUCUUUAAUUACUUUUAUUUAUAUUCAAGUUAUUUAUUGGAUUCCUGCUUGGAUCAAGUGCUCUAGUCUUUGAAACUCUAGAGUAGUAAUUAAUAGAUUAGACGUGGUGUUUAGUUUUGCAAUUACAUGGAAUUGCACCCAAUCCUGCGGAUUGUUGUGGUAGCCCUAGGGUAGUGACAGCCCUAAUGGUUGACAUAUUCCACCUCGUUCGGAUCGGUGUUUGUAGGACCGUAGUCAGAGCUUCCUAGCCCCCUUCUCAUCUCUUUCUGUGGUUAGUGUUCUGAUGUCCCGAAAUAAAUAAUCUUUGAAGUAAUUCUUGUUUCUUAGAUCAACUAGAGAACUCUCAGGAAACUUUCUCUCUUCCCACCAAAAAUAAUUAUAUAGUUAUCUUUGAGCGAUCUUGAAUCUUAAUUAGUACACUCACGUUCCCUGUGGAAAAUCGAUACUCUAGAAUACUCCCGGGUGAAAGCUACAUUGGUAUCCGUGCGCUUACGGAUUUUUCUGUUUGCGUUUAAAAUACCCAACAGUGUGUAUGUUGAGGAGAACUCAUGUUUGAUCCCAACUUCAUCACAAUACUCUUCUAUGUUGGUGUGUCAAACUCUUUCCCAUUGUCACUCCUUAUUUUCUUGAUGUUGACAUCAAAUUGAUUUGGGGCUUUCUUUGCAAACGUCUUGAUUAUUAAUGCAACUUCGGCCUUGUCUUGCAAGAAGAAUGUCCAAGUGUACCAUGAGUAAUCAUCCACUAUGACCAAACAAUACUUGUUGCCACCAAGACUAGCAUAUCUGGUUGGUCCAAACAAAUCCAUGUGAAGUAGAUCAAGCACUCUAGAAGUAGAGAGAUAGGCCUUGGUUGGAUGGGUGUUAGCCACUUGCUUGCUGGCUUGACAUGCACUACAUAAUUUGUCCUUCUCAAAUGUCACAUCCUUUAAGCCUCUAAUCAAUUCUUUCUUCAUCAACUUCUUGAGAGUGCCCAUUCCAACAUGUGCUAACCUUCUAUGCCAUAACCACUCAAGUGAGGUCUUGGUGAAUAAGCAAGUCUUGAUGUCAACUUCAUCGGAGGAGAAAUCAACUAGAUAUAAGUUGUUGUGCCGGAAGCCUUUGAAUACCAUUUCAUUGUCAUCCUCCUUGGUCACUAUUACUUCUCUCUUGUUGAAUAAGCGUUGGAAGCCAAGAUCACAAAGUUGUCUAACCGAAAGCAAGUUGAAACUUAAUGAUGACACAUAGAGCACAUUGGUGAUGGAGUUGUCAUUUGAUAUAGCAAUCUUUCCUAGACCCUUGACCUUGCGUUUUGAAUUGUCACCAAAUGUGAUCUUUUCUUGAUUGUCUACAUCUUCAUCAAGUGAGGUGAACAUCCAAGGAUCUCCGGUCAUAUGUUGAGUGCAACCACUAUCAAUUAUCCAAUGUGAUCCACCGGUCUUGUAGUUCACCUACACACAAGAGAUCAAGCUUGAGUUUUGGGGACCCACAUUUGCUUAGGGCCCUUAACCUUCUCAAUUAGUUGCUUUGGCACCCAAAUCUUCUUUGGCUUUUGCUUGUUGGGCGGCCCCAUGAAGCUAACCUUGUCCUCCACUCUUCUAUCAUCCUACAAUGUAGUGAGCAUUGAACGCACAUGGUCUUGCAUGCUUGGGCAAAGGAGGGGGUAGUGGUGCCUCACACUCAUGAGCAAAGUGAACCUCUUGUCCACACUCAAAGCAUCUCUUGGGCAUAGGCUUUCUUGGUUGAUCAUGAGUUGCUAGUGACUUGAUAAGCUUGCUUUAUUGAGCCUUGUUGCCAAUUCCACUCUUGUCCAUCUUCAUGACGGUGUUCAUGAAGAGCUCACUUUGAAGGUCCUUUUCUCUAGUGCACUUGGCUAACCCCUUGGUGAGAUGUUCCUUCUCUUUCUUGAGCUUGUUGUUCUCUUGAGUUAGCCUCUUGAUGAUUGGGUCAUGCUUGCUUUCUAACUCUUCCAAGAUUAAAGACUCAUCUUCUUCUUGCUUGUCAUAUAACAAACCAAGCUUUCGAUAUUGAUUUUCUUCUUUGAGCAAUUUAUUCUCAUAAGCAAGCUUCUUGUCUUGAUCAAGUGACUCAAUCACCACGAUGUUGUGCUUUGCUUGCUCUUGCAACUCUUUCUUGAGCUUCUCAUUUUCACUCUUGAUCUUUGCAUUUUCUUUCUUGAUCAUGAUAGUGUCCUCAUGGUCCUUGGCCACUACCAUAUUCUUGCCUUUGCAACCAACACAUUUGCUAAUGCUCUCCACAAGUAAUUUAUCACAAGAUGUGGCUACAUCAAGCUUAGCAACAUGGUUAGUAGCAACAUGUGUUUAAUUGAUAGCAAGAUCAUUGUUUGCUUUUAGAGUGGUGAAAUCUUUCUUUAAAGCUCUAUGUCUAGUAAUGAGCUCAAGUUUAUCAUGUUUUUCUUUGAGCUCUUUUAGAGAGAGUUUGAGCUCCUUGAGUUUAGUGGUCAUGAUCUCAUUUUGGUCUCUACGCUCAUCACUAGAUUUAAGCUUUGCAAGAAGAGACUCAUUUUCAUUUUAUAGCUUAUCAUUUUCAUUCCUAGCCUUUCUUAUGACUUCAGUGUAUUUGUUAAGCAAGUGCACAAGUUCAUCAUAAGAAGGUGAUUCAUAUUCACUAUCACUCUCACUACUCUCAUCCUCACUUUGUACCUUCCGGUCACCUUUAGCCAUGAGGCAUAGGUGUGUAAGGAUGAAGAAGGUGGAGAGGAUGAUGGCGAUGGAGCAUUAAUGGCAAUGGCAGCAACCUUCUCAUCAUCACUUUCAUUGCUGGAGGAGUCACCACUUGAGUUUCAAUGUCGGUGAGCCAAUCACCAAUAAUGUGUAUGUGCUUGUGUGCCUAUGUGAGAGAGACAGAGUCCACAUUGAAGCAUCCUCCUCACUUUGACUGCAUUUUAGCUUGCAAUGACAUCCUGGAGGUAGCUCUCUAAUAUUCCUUGAGCCAAACUUGAUUUUGCCUGCGUUUAAAAAAUUACUAUAGUUUGGAUUCAGACAUCUCUAAAUUUAGGUGUUCUCGUGCAAUAAAUGAUUUAACUGUUUUUUUUUGCGAAAUAAAUGAUUUAACUGUUGAAACCAUGGUGCACACAAGAUAUUUCUUUUAUAUGUGUUACUAGAAAAUACAUAGGGUCAUGUGAAUCUUAAAACCCAUAGGGGCAUGUACUCAGGUCACUGUAAAAUUUAUUUCAGGGAAACUACUUGAUUAAUAGAGAUAUUACAGGAGUUGCAUUGAUCCGUUUAGAAGUGGGAUAUUUUCUGUGAUUCUACAGAGGUCUCAAUGGUCUGCUUCUAACAGGUAAAUGAGUUCGUGACUACAUGUUUGAUCAAUAGUAGUAGUAAUUGGGAUAAGAGGAAUAAAUUUAACCUCUGCUACAUAAAUUUGCGAAAUCUCAUGUCAAAGAAAAUAAACACGGAGUAGCAGUAUUUGGGGCAACUAAAAUCCAUUUGAUGACACAUAAAAGAAGAACCUUUACACGCCAACUUAGGCAAAAGCUAUAGCACUAUUCACCCGUCAGCACAUAUUCAAAAUGACCCAAAAGCUAUGUCACCGCAUACUCAAAAGCACUGCCACAGCAAAAGACAGUUCCAACAAAAUGCUAAGACUCCGCUUUUCUCCAUGACUACAUUCUUCAUUUUUGUUUGAUUCGUGGAGAGUUCUACCUUCCAAGAAGGCAUUAGUAUGCAGGUUGCAGCAGCUUCUAGGAAUGGCAACAGCGGCGGCCAAACCUGCAGCGAUCAGGUGAAUGGAUCUCUGGUUCUCCAUUAAUCCUAUAGAAACAAUUAACAAGUAAUUAGUCAACAAUAUAAACGAAACAAUAAUAUAACUCCAAUAAAUAGGUUAUAAUUACCUUCUCUUGGCUUCAUGCGCAGCUGCAAUCUUCGGCUCAAAAUGAAUCCUACUAAAUUCCGUAGUCUCGAGUCGCCUCUCUAAUCCAAUUUAAAAAGAAUAAUGCCAGUGACAUUAGUUUUUCAUAGACAAGAGCACCUUAAUAAAUACUAUCCAAAUAAUACAUAACCAACAUGGCAUACUUACCUUUACUAUUUCCGCACAACAUUGUCAACAAUCUAAUGAUCUUCUUCUAGCCUUUUCCAUUUCAUUAGAUUAUCCGUCACUAACUUGUCAGACACCCUUAUCUUACAAAUAUUACGGCUAUAGAUUCAAUUAAGAUUACAAGAAAACAUAAGAAAUUUGAAUUAUCUUAAAUACUGAAAACUGAAAUCCAUGAUAUAUAAACAUAUGUGCUAUCUAGUAGAACCAUAUGUAUAGUUGGAAUCUUUCGAUUAUAGUCACCAUCAGUUUGUGCAAAUGAACUAACCAUGAAAGGCGUACCAAUAAUAUCUGAUGAAAGGCAUACCAAUUAUAGCUGGAAAGAGGAUUUUUCUACCUCGUAUAGCCUUAUGCAUGUCGAAUGAUGAGAUGUUCCUUUUCCAAUUUAAAAGAAAACAGUUUCCUAUUCGAUGAACUGAUGUUAAACUGUGUGCCAAGAAAAAUUCAAAAAAAGAGUACAUAUUGGUGAAUACAUAUGACGAAUUGAUGAUUUUUCUUAGAAAUUGAGCUUUUUUAUUUGCAAGUGGAUCAGAAUAGUAUGUUUGUCUAUAUAUUUUGACUCAGCAUAAUUUUUUAUAUCAUUGCUGCAUUAAAAUUUUACUCCCGUAGCAACGCACGUGCAUAUGCUAGUGUAAUAUAACACACAAAAACUUUACAGCCUGGAACUAAACAAGCCCCUAAAGCUGACUAUUUCUUAGUGUUUGCUAGCAAAGUGACUUCACUUUCUAUAGCCAACUUUGCCUAUAAUUUAGAACUUCACUUUUAGUGUCCUGUAGCUAAUUUUACCUAUAAUUUAGAAUGUGAGGGAGUACCUCAACUCCUCUUCAUUGCAAACCUAAUGACAUUUUGGGGUGCUAAGAGAAUUCCAUCCACAAGUACAUUUUUCCCCUAACAUUAACAGCCCCUUCACAAGCAUAAGUCUAAAAAGGAAGAGAAAGAAAUGAUUCCACAUUAUUUUGAUAUAUUCACUGUCAGAUCCCUACAAGUAAAAAACAAGUUAAUUUUCCAUCUCAAAAUAAAAGGGGGAAAAGAAAAUAGUCUAUGAACAGCAUGAAUUGCAAAGGCUUUUCCUUUGUUUUGAAACAAUCAAAUAGCGCCUGAUGAGACUUACAUUGUUUAUACCAUGAUCAAAGAAUAUGUAUGAACAUUGUACAGAUAGGUCCAUCUUCCUGUUGUACAACAAUUGAUUCGACUCUGGUACAAUUAGAACAGCUAGACUAUGCACUAUUUUUUUUUUCCAUUUGCUAUAUUGAAUUUCAGAGUAAAGAAUAUGCGACUCAACAAGAACAGCUAGGCUGUUACCAAAGAUGAAUCUAAUUUAACAACAGGUCAUGUCGCCUCAAAACAUAUCAAUCAUAGGUUUUCAAGGUAUUGCCAUUCAUUACAGAUGCAAGUCAUUUGGGUUAGAACUUGGUGGUGAUUCAGCGACUUAUUGGGUCAGCAUCUCAUUUCAGGCUAUCCGCCCUCUGGUUAGCUCCUCUAUAUUUCUUCAAUGUACUAUUAUUCUUCCUCUCUUGCUGCUCCAGGCUUUCUGCCUCUAACAACCUUGCUGGCAGGAAAAUGCAACCUUGCAUAAAGGGGCCUUGGUGCCCUCACCGUCCUAUCAAAGCCCCUCACACAAACAAAUCCUGAAAUUUCAGGACAGAAAGCAACUACGUAUAAGCAAGUUAUAAUUGAUAAAAUAAAGUUUGUAGUUGCUAAACAUUAAGCUUGCACAAUUGCUCUAGGGCCGGCAAGUUUUACACAAAAGAUAGAAUACAGUAUAUGCAUGAAUCAUGAAUGCAAUUGUACAAAAUGUAUGGUUUCUCAAACUGAGCAUAGAAAUCUUAACUCAGUUGAAACUGCAAGACACAGACAAAGUGUUUGCUAGAGUAACAAUCAUUGUGCUCCCAGGACACCGAAGUAAAAAAAUAAAAAAAAAAUAAAAAAAAAGGACCCCAAAACUAGCAUGUUCUUCCUUUUUUUUUGCAUAUUUCCUUGUCAUAUAUUAUAAUAUUCCAGCACUAAGAAAAUGGAAAAAACAAUAAGCAUCUCAGAUUUAUUUGGGAAUGACCAAAACUAGCAUGUUCUUCCUUUUUUUUUGCAUAUUCUUUGUCAUAUAUUAUAAUAUUUUCAUAGUUUUACAUUGAGAAAGCCGUACCAGCACUAAGAAAAUGGAAAAAACAAUAAGCAUCCCAGAUUGAUUUGGGAGUGGACCAAAAUUAAUGUAAACUGACACAUUUUACAGUGGAGAGUUCAGCUGACCAGUAGAACAUUCAUUGAUUCAGUUAUUCCCUUAUAACCAAAAAAAAGUAAAGGUAGUUGCAUUAUUUGUGGGUCCCAUAUGCAGCCGGUUGUUUCCUAUACCUUGAUCUUGCAUUAAAAGUGCUCAUUUUCAUUAGUGGCAUCCCCUCACAAAUUUUUGCCCUUAUCUGUCAGUUCUAUCCAUUUGCUGUCAGUGGGUCACAAUAGAGGGCAACCUAUUGGCCCAUAUAUUAUGUAAAUUUACCUUCCCUAUGACGUGCAAGCUUGGGUCACACAAUAGUCGGCUCCCCACCCUCAGGAAGCAGGCACCAUCCUACCACUCAGUUGUGAUGAUAAACUCAUCUACAUAUUCAAAGCAUCUCCAGCAGUACCCUAUCCCCAUGAAACUGCCAUAUUGGGGAUAACUAUGUUUUUUUUCUUGCUCCAGCAGUUCCCUAGCUCCUUUUUUUUUGGUGGCCAUCAAUAUUGAGAGUUAAGCCUAGUGCUUCUCUCUAGUUAUCUUGUUAUCUAGCUUAUCUUUCCGUUAAAGCUGUACUCAGCUCUUAUCUUAGCUUUAUGCCUAGCAGCUAAGGCAGCCAUGGUUAUUGCUGCCAUCUAUUCCUAGAUCCAGAAUUUACUUGUGUUACCUGGCCAACAAAUAUUUCUCUCAUCUCCCCUCAAAUAGAGAGGGAGUUGUAUCCCCCCCCAACACACACAAUAGCAUGAAGGCCACCCCAACUACCAUUUUUCAAUCAACUUUUCUACCACACACCUGUGAGACCCACCUUUCAUAUGGGUAUUGGGGGGAGAUACAUUCUGUAGCAACUCCCCCAAUAUUCAUAAAAUUAUUAUUGGGCUACCCCAAUACAUAUAUAUUUGGGGAUAGAUUAUUGGGGAACUGGAGCAGAUGAUCUUAGCUUCCAACCUCCACUAAUGGAGAUCAGCCAUUCACUCCUCUUACUUUUACCCCUUACCUUUCCCCGGCUAGCUCCAAAGACGCCAUACAAUUCGAGCUGUUGUGGCCAUUACUGUCCCCACAAACUAAGACAGCAAUGGGAAGAGGUCAAAGAGGUAAUUACUGAAUGAUAUUCGGUAAUCAUUAUUAUUUAUCGUGACCAAACUCUCAGUCUUUCCAAACUCAUGCAACAAAUCAAACAAAUUAAUUGAGAAAAGGAAUAAAUAAGUCGAAAAUGAGAAUAACUACCUUCAGUAGGUUUAUACACAUCAAGAAAAAGCAAUGGUUAGCAAUGAUUGUGCUACGAAGGAAAUAGUUAACAAUUGAUGCUUGGUAUGAUUGGAGAAAAGAUGAAUAAACAAAAAAAAACAACUAAACCUUCCGUAGUUCCAUGUUAAGACACCAAAAAGACAAUGGUGAUUGUUGCCGGAAGUUAGGGCCAUGGGGGCGGUCAACUAGAUGCAAGAGUGUGUGCUCAUGUAUGCAUUAAGAUCGCCACCAUACUAAUAGACUUGCUGCCUAAUCAAUAACUUGUUAAGACUAGAUGUACUAGUCUACCAAGUCAAACAGCUGGGCCAGUAGUUUUUUUUUAUCGAACACGCAGGAGAACUAUGUAUCUUUAUAUUUUAGAAAAAUCAAUGUUUUUCUAUGUGCUAGGCGGUUUCUAGGAGACCCGCCGCCACCUAAGCGUUUUCUAGGCGGUGGCUAAUACACACAUAUAUAUGUUGAAAAAAAGAAAAAGAAAACAGGAGAUAAGUGGACUUCACUAAAGAGAAAGGCCCUUACAACAGAAAACUGCCCAAAGCCCAAGUCCCCUAGCCAUCCCUUCUUUCUCCUCUGAAAACGGCCCAAAGCCCACGUUUCCAACCUUCUUUCUCCUCUGCUCGGUCUCUCCUGCAGUCCCGAUGCCGCAAAGCCACCGCCGCCACUGGAUCCUCUCCCGCACAUCUCUCUCUCUCUCUCUCGGCCUUCUCUGGUCGGCGUGCCGCCUGCACAUGCAUGCGCCUGCCGCCCACCCCUCCUCCUCCCCCACUGGCGAUCUCCGCCUGCCGCAUGCUGCUCCUACCCCACUGGUGACCUCCGCUCGCUGCUCCCUUCCUCCUCCGCCGCCCAACGUCUGCCUACACCCCUAGGCGAGGUGGUACCCUCCGUGCAGUGCCUAGUCAUGCCUAGGUGACCGCGAAAUCUCGCCUUGUUGAACAUUGAGAAAAAUGGUGCCAGCUAUUAGUGGGGACUUGACUUGAUGAUUUAAUAACGUUAUUAGUGGUCCUAUGAUGCCAGAUGUUCAACAUUAAUACCAUUCUCAUAGUUUUUUUUUUUGGGAAAACGCAGGAGAGCUGCGUUUCAUUAUAUUAUAGAGAUAAAACAUAAGUUGGGUCCCCAACAGGCUCCUCACUCGUACGGGGACCAAAUGGUGUUGGUACCAGGAUUCUUGUAAGCAAUAGUAUAUUUGUGGGACUCAACUCUAGAUUUGUUCAUUGUAAGCAUACAUCAUAAAAGUAAGAAGAUAAAAUGGGUACCUCUCCAAAAGCAUUGUUGUAUCUCUUCAGUCGUUAAACCUGCCAGCAAAAACAUGUAACAUAGUUAGAGCUCGGUAAACGUCAGAGGUGUACUCAGAUGAUGGUUUAAUCAUGACCAUGAACCUUGGUUAUUGCUGGGUUCUGUCUUCCAUUUUCAAGCUAUAUGUUCAAUGUUACAGAAUCUCAUAGCCAGCACUAAGGAACAAACUUCGGGAAAAAGUAAAAUGUUUAUGCAAAGGUCAAACUCUUGGUUAUCAUCUGGAGGAGCAAAAGUUUUAUGCUGAAGCUUUUGGGAACUUGCUGGAGCCCGUAAGCUUCAAGAACUAGGUUGUAGUGGGG